rnacentral:rRNA from 1 species
UGGGGAAUUUUGGACAAUGGGCGAAAGCCUGAUCCAGCAAUGCCGCGUGUGUGAAGAAGGCUUUCGGGUUGUAAAGCACUUUUGUCCGGAAAGAAAUCCUUGGCUCUAAUACAGUCGGGGGAUGACGGUACCGGAAGAAUAAGCACCGGCUAACUACGUGCCAGCAGCCGCGGUAAUACGUAGGGUGCAAGCGUUAAUCGGAAUUACUGGGCGUAAAGCGUGCGCAGGCGGUUUGCUAAGACCGAUGUGAAAUCCCCGGGCUCAACCUGGGAACUGCAUUGGUGACUGGCAGGCUAGAGUAUGGCAGAGGGGGGUAGAAUUCCACGUGUAGCAGUGAAAUGCGUAGAGAUGUGGAGGAAUACCGAUGGCGAAGGCAGCCCCCUGGGCCAAUACUGACGCUCAUGCACGAAAGCGUGGGGAGCAAAACAGGAUUAGAUACCCUGGUAGUCCACGCCCUAAACGAUGUCAACUAGUUGUUGGGGAUUCAUUUCCUUAGUAACGUAGCUAACGCGUGAAGUUGACCGCCUGGGGAGUACGGUCGCAAGAUUAAAACUUAAAUGAAUUGACGGGGUCAUAGCUGUUUCCU